rnacentral:rRNA from 1 species
UACGAGGGGGGCGAGCGUUGUCCGGAUUCAUUGGGCGUAAAGAGCUCGUAGGCGGCUUGGUAAGUCGGAUGUGAAACCUCCAGGCUCAACCUGGAGUCGCCAUCCGAUACUGCCAUGGCUAGAGUCCGGUAGGGGCCCACGGAAUUCCUGGUGUAGCGGAGAAAUGCGCAGAUAUCAGGAGGAACACCGAUGGCGAAGGCAGUGGGCUGGGCCGGCACUGACGCUGAGGAGCGAAAGCGUGGGGAGCGAACAGG